UACGUAGGGUGCGAGCGUUGUCCGGAAUUAUUGGGCGUAAAGAGCUCGUAGGCGGUGUGUCACGUCGGCCGUGAAAACCUGCAGCUUAACUGUGGGCGUGCGGUCGAUACGGGCAUCACUGGAGUUCGGCAGGGGAGACUGGAAUUCCUGGUGUAGCGGUGAAAUGCGCAGAUAUCAGGAGGAACACCGAUGGCGAAGGCAGGUCUCUGGGCCACUACUGACGCUGAGAAGCGAAAGCGUGGGGAGCGAACAGG
rnacentral:rRNA from 1 species